rnacentral:rRNA from 1 species
AUGGAUAACAGGUUGAUAUUCCUGUACCACCUAUAAUCGUUUUAAUCGAUGGGGGGACGCAGUAGGAUAGGCGAAGCGUGCGAUUGGAUUGCACGUCUAAGCAGUAAGGCUGAGUAUUAGGCAAAUCCGGUACUCGUUAAGGCUGAGCUGUGACGGGGAGAAGACAUUGUGUCUUCGAGUCGUUGAUUUCACACUGCCGAGAAAAGCCUCUAGAUAGAAAAUAGGUGCCCGUACCGCAAACCGACACAGGUAGUCAAGAUGAGAAUUCUAAGGUGAGCGAGCGAACUCUCGUUAAGGAACUCGGCAAAAUGACCCCGUAACUUCGGGAGAAGGGGUGCUCUUUAGGGUUAACGCCCAGAAGAGCCGCAGUGAAUAGGCCCAAGCGACUGUUUAU